GUGCCGGUGCCGUGCAGGCUGGGCGGGAACGGCUCGCCGUCGAUGAAGAUCAUGUCGUCGCCCUCGCCGUACCAGUUCCAGUCGCUGGUCUGGCGCA
rnacentral:tRNA from 1 species